AAUAUUGGACAAUGGGCGAAAGCCUGAUCCAGCCAUGCCGCGUGUGUGAAGAAUGUCUUCGGAUUGUAAAGCACUUCAUGUUGGGAGGAAGGGUCGUAGGCUACUACCCUGCAAUUCUCUCGUCACCAACUGAAUAAGCACCGGCUCACUCAGUGCCAGCAUCCGCGGUAAUACUGAGGGUGCAAGGGUUAACCGGAAUUACUGGGCGUAAAGCGCGCGUAGGUGGUUUGUUAAGUUGGAAGUGAAAGCCCCGGGCUCAACCUGGGAACUGCUUUCAAAACUGACGAGCUAGAGUACGGUAGAGGGUAGUGGAAUUUCCUGUGUAGCGGUGAAAUGCGUAGAUAUAGGAAGGAACAUCAGUGGCGAAGGCGACUACCUGGACUGAUACUGACACUGAGGUGCGAAAGCGUGGGGAGCAAACAGG
rnacentral:rRNA from 1 species